CGGCUCCAGUAAUACAUGAAUCUUCUACCACAUGCUGGCCGCUGGCCAAUGAUAUUAGAAUACUUGGCUGGAUCGUUCCAUACAAUGGUCGAAUCAAGAUUUGCAACACUAAUAAGCGCUCAAGAAAAAACCUCAAAAUUAUGUCCACAUAUCCUUGAGAAAUGCAACACUCAAACACAACUACAGUCCACAUAUCCUUAAGAAACGCAAACAAUUAGUCAUUUCAGGCUUACAAACAACAAAAUCAUCUGCUCAAGCCCUAAAGCAUACUAACAACACACCUCCCUGAUUUCCCUAUAUAGAAUAAUAGACCAUAUGGCCUCACCUAUAGCCACGAUAAGGAGAAUAGGGUGAUCUGGACCUUUCCCUCCUUGACCUUCCACCAUAGGGAGGAGAGUGCCUGGGAGAAUAAUCACGACCCCCACGAUAAUGAGAGCGCCUAGGAGACCUACGAUAAUCAUCAUAGCCACGAUUCCUACCACGAUCUCCAUGAUGGCCAUAGUCCCCACUACUUUUCAGCCCAAGAUAGUGUCCUGGUGUUGGAGUUCUUCCUCGUUUCCUCCGUGACUGAAAGAUAAACAAAUCACCUCAAUUCUACAAAUCAAAAUGAUAAAUAUUUAAACGCCACAAAAACUAGCAAUUUUUUUUUUCUCCCCAAAAGGACGGGCACUAAAACUUGAAUUUUUUUCCCCCGAAUUGAGAGAUGCACCUAACAUAAGGCCAAGCCCAGGUUCACAAUAACUAGAAAUUUGAUAUCUACACAAGCAUAUUAACAUACACAAAAAGUUGCAUUAAGAAGGCACAGAAAAGGAGUAAAAAAGUUGUAUUAAGAAGUCAAUAUCUACACAUGCAUAUAAACAUAAAUAUUCACUUGAAAAUGUCCUGGAAGGAGGCAAAACAAGCUACCAAAGAAAAAUAAGAAAACAACUAUGCACACAUUACUAGUUUUUAUUAACUAAGUGCCAGGUAUUAUAAAAUACCAUAAGCCUGAUUAGAAAGUUGUUGAUAAUGUCCUUGAUUAGUUGAGGGUUGAAAUUGAAUGCUGAAGUUGUAUAGUUGUUGAACAAUAUAGUUGCUAUGUUUAGUUGAUCACAAGCAUUUGAAAAGCUGUUUAAGCUGGCCAUUGAUCAAGCUGUUUCACUUAAGUUGACAUGGAUGAACUGAUCAUCUUUGAUAGCUGCCAACAUAGCUGACAAUAUCUUCUGAAUAUAACCAGAAAACCUCCAAGUUAAGAAGAAGGACCCAGUCAAAACCGACUCACGUUCAAGACCAGGGGUACAAUAACAUUACCUUCUCCACUGUUAUAUAUCUGCCCUCUAGAACUGAUUGAUUGAGAUACUUAACACAGCGGUUUGCAUCCUCAACACUGUCCAUUGUUACAAAAGCAAAACCACGAGAAAUGCGUGUACGGGGCUCCACAACAAGAAAACACGAUACAACCUUUCCCUCUUUAGAGAAAUGCUCUUCUAGGUCCCUUUCUGUGACUCUUGUAGACAGACCAGUCACAUAUAAUGUGUUUCCUGGAUUCACAGCAUCACUCCUGCCACGGCUUCUAGACCUUGAUCUGCCAUGACUUCGGGACCGGGAUCUAUGCCUCAGCCGGGACAAUGAUCUAGAUCUUAACCUGGAACGUGAUCCUGACCUAGACCUUGACUGUUCUCUCCAAGGGGAAAGUGACUGUGAAUUCCUUUUUCCAGGAGAAUCCGCCAUUUUGACCCCAAACGCAAGAAUCGGAAAGGUAGAGCCUGAAAGUUAGGGUUAUGAAGUUUUUGCACGGAGCGCGAUUUCUUGUCGUUACAUACAAGAGAAAGGAUACAAAUAUCCACUACGUGGCCCUC
rnacentral:misc_RNA from 1 species